GUUAAGCCCAAUGAGUCACACAACCAAGCAAAAGGUAUGAGUAGGAGGAGUUGGCAAUUAGGGGAUGAAUUUGACAGACCUAGAAGGAGGAAAAGAGAAGCAGUUCAGCACAAAGGAAAUAAAAGAUCUGAGGCUGGAGAUGUAUUUCAUCUGAUCUCUACACUCAUGGAAGGACAACGUGCUGAUGAGUUGCAUAAACACUGAGGUUAUCAUCUCAGCGACAAGAGAAGCCCUUGCCUGAGGACUGGCAAGCAAAUGAGGAAGACAUACGAACAGUGAAAAUAAAAACCGACCAAGGACCUGCCUCAGCUUAGGAGUGAACAUAUCCAUUUUACUCAAAGGCUUCCAAAUAAAACUUCAUCUUGAACACA